UGACAGACUCGGGCCCUGAGUGAAGGAGAGACUGGAGGGGAGGGGCUGCUACCACACUGCCUGCACGGAUCUCAGAGGUGACAGCAAAUACUCCAGGUGCAUUGGAACAAGAUGCAAGAUAGGACAGUAUGGCAUCACCAGGUGGACCCCAUGCCAGGACCAAGAUGACCCCAAUUGUCUUUCUGAUUACCUCCACACUGCUGUGUGCUCCAUGCCAAGUAUUUGGUGAUCAGACACAAGGUGCUGUGUUUCUUCAUGAAUUCCCUCUUAUAAGAAGAGAAAGUCACCAGGAUGAUCUUCUAGCCGAUCAAAUGAACAAUUACAAGGUUGAA